GCAGGACUCUAAACUCUCUACAACCCUGUGAACUUCACGACAAGCACGUUGCUUCGGCGGUGUCUCGGCGGAGGUCCCCUGGGACCUGCCAGGGCGCGAAGCCCCGCACCUACUACUCUGUCUCUUAUGCGUUGCAUCUCGAGUAAUAUCAAUAAGUUAA
rnacentral:misc_RNA from 1 species